AGUGAACGCUGGCGGUAGGCCUAACACAUGCAAGUCGAACGGCAGCACAGUAAGAGCUUGCUCUUACGGGUGGCGAGUGGCGGACGGGUGAGGAAUACAUCGGAAUCUACUUUUUCGUGGGGGAUAACGUAGGGAAACUUACGCUAAUACCGCAUACGACCUACGGGUGAAAGCAGGGGAUCUUCGGACCUUGCGCGAUUGAAUGAGCCGAUGUCGGAUUAGCUAGUUGGCGGGGUAAAGGCCCACCAAGGCGACGAUCCGUAGCUAGUCUGAGAGGAUGACCACCACACCGGGAACGAGGCAACGGCCCAGACUCCUACGGGAGGCGGAAGUGGGGAAUAUUGGACAAUGGGCGCAAGCCUGAUCCAGCCAGACCGCGGGGGUGAGGAAGGCCUUCGGGUGGUAAAGCCCUUUUGUUGGGAAAGAAAAGCAGCAGGUUAAUACCCCGCUGUUCUGACGGUACCCAAAGAAUAAGCACCGGCUAACUUCGUG
rnacentral:rRNA from 1 species